rnacentral:rRNA from 1 species
CUGAGAAAUGGCUUACCACUUUCUACGGAAGGCAGCAGGCGCGCAAAUUACUCAAUCCCAAUACGGGGAAGUAGUGACAAUAAAUAUCAAUACCUAUCCUUUUUGGAGGGGAAUAGAGAUGAACACAAAUAAAAACUCUCAAAUAACACACUUGGAGGGGAAGUCUGGGGCCCCCACCCCCGGUGAUUCCCCCUCCCCUAUCACAUACAAAAGUUGUUGCACUUAAAAAACUCUUAUUUUAAAUUUAAGGUUUAUCUGGGUAAAAAAAUUUGCCACUUUUUGGUUAAAUUCAACUCCAGUCUUCCUUUUCUUAAUAAAUCAUCUUCCAGUAUCUCUGAUAGUGGUUGUUUGGGCAUUUUUCUGUGAGAAAAAAGUGGUGUUUAAAAAAGGCGGCUCCCCUGAUCUUUUUUUUCANGGUAUGAUGAAACAUGACANUUUAUGCUNUUGGUUUGCGUCUAANGUGNAAUGAUUAAUAAGGA